rnacentral:rRNA from 1 species
UAAACUUCUUUUGUAAGAGAGCAAUAAGAAUCACGUGUGGUUCGAUGAGAGUAUCUUACGAAUAAGCAUCGGCUAACUCCGUGCCAGCAGCCGCGGUAAUACGGGGGAUGCAAGCGUUAUCCGGAUUUAUUGGGUUUAAAGGGUGCGUAGGCGGCCUGUUAAGUCAGCGGUGAAAUGUCCUCGCUCAACGAGGAAGUUGCCGUUGAUACUGGUGGGCUAGAAUGCGGAUGUCGUUGGAGGAAUGUGUGGUGUAGCGGUGAAAUGCAUAGAUAUCACACAGAACACCGAUUGCGAAGGCAUCUGACGAAUUCCGCGAUUGACGCUGAGGCACGAAAGCGUGGGUAUCAAACAGGAUUAGAUACCCUGGUAGUCCACGCUGUAAACGAUGAUAACUAACCGUUGGCGAUAUACAGUCAGUGGCCAAGCGAAAG